rnacentral:rRNA from 1 species
CUGGCCGUAAACGAUGGAUACUAGGCGUUGUGAGUAUCGACCCUCACAGUGUCGUAGCUAACGCGUUAAGUAUCCCGCCUGGGGAGUACGCGCGCAAGCGUGAAACUCAAAGGAAUUGACGGGGGCCCGCACAAGCGGUGGAGUAUGUGGUUUAAUUCGAUGCAACGCGAAGAACCUUACCAGGACUUGACAUGUCGCGAAUCUCAGGGAAACUUGAGAGUGCCUUCGGGAGCGCGAACACAGGUGGUGC